UUAAAUUGAAGAGUUUGAUCAUGGCUCAGAUUGAACGCUGGCGGCAGGCCUAACACAUGCAAGUCGAACGGUAACAGGAAGCAGCUUGCUGCUUUGCUGACGAGUGGCGGACGGGUGAGUAAUGUCUGGGAAAACUGCCUGAUGGAGGGGGAUAACUACUGGAAACGGUAGCUAAUACCGCAUAACGUCGCAAGACCAAAGAGGGGGACCUUCGGGGCCUCUUGCCAUCGGAUGUGCCCAGAUGGGAUAGCUAGUAGGUGGGGUAACGGCUCACCUAGGCGACGAUCCCUAGCUGGUCUGAGAGGAUGACCAGCCACGAACUGAGACACGGUCCAGACUCCUACGGGAGGCAGCAGUGGGGAAUAUUGCACAAUGGGCGCAAGCCUGAUGCAGCCAUGCCGCGUGUAUGAAGAAGGCCUUCGGGUUGUAAAGUACUUUCAGCGGGGAGGAAGGCGAUAAGGUUAAUAACCUUGUCGAUUGACGUUACCCGCAGAAGAAGCACCGGCUAACUCCGUGCCAGCAGCCGCGGUAAUACGGAGGGUGCAAGCGUUAAUCGGAAUUACUGGGCGUAAAGCGCACGCAGGCGGUCUGUCAAGUCGGAUGUGAAAUCCCCGGGCUCAACCUGGGAACUGCAUUCGAAACUGGCAGGCUAGAGUCUUGUAGAGGGGGGUAGAAUUCCAGGUGUAGCGGUGAAAUGCGUAGAGAUCUGGAGGAAUACCGGUGGCGAAGGCGGCCCCCUGGACAAAAGACUGACGCUCAGGUGCGAAAGCGUGGGGAGCAAAACAGGAUUAGAUACCCUGGUAGUCCACGCCGUAAACGAUGUCGACUUGGAGGUUGUGCCCUUGAGGCGUGGCUUCCGGAGCUAACGCGUUAAGUCGACCGCCUGGGGAGUACGGCCGCAAGGUUAAAACUCAAAUGAAUUGACGGGGGCCCGCACAAGCGGUGGAGCAUGUGGUUUAAUUCGAUGCAACGCGAAGAACCUUACCUACUCUUGACAUCCAGAGAACUUAGCAGAGAUGGCUUGGUGCCUUCGGGAACUCUGAGACAGGUGCUGCAUGGCUGUCGUCAGCUCGUGUUGUGAAAUGUUGGGUUAAGUCCCGCAACGAGCGCAACCCUUAUCCUUUGUUGCCAGCGAUUCGGUCGGGAACUCAAAGGAGACUGCCAGUGAUAAACUGGAGGAAGGUGGGGAUGACGUCAAGUCAUCCAUGGCCCUUACGAGUAGGGCUACACACGUGCUACAAUGGCGCAUACAAAGAGAAGCGACCUCGCGAGAGCAAGCGGACCUCAUAAAGUGCGUCGUAGUCCGGAUUGGAGUCUGCAACUCGACUCCAUGAAGUCGGAAUCGCUAGUAAUCGUGGAUCAGAAUGCCACGGUGAAUACGUUCCCGGGCCUUGUACACACCGCCCGUCACACCAUGGGAGUGGGUUGCAAAAGAAGUAGGUAGCUUAACCUUCGGGAGGGCGCUUACCACUUUGUGAUUCAUGACUGGGGUGAAGUCGUAACAAGGUAACCGUAGGGGAACCUGCGGUUGGAUCACCUCCUUACCUUAAAGAA
rnacentral:rRNA from 1 species